CAGGGGUGUGCAGGGAUGCACAGAGGUGUGCAGAGUUGUGCAGGGAUGCACACAGGUGUGCAGGAUGCACAGAGGUGUGCAGGGAUUUACAGAAUUGUGCAGGGAUGCACAGAGGCAGCCUCUCCUCGCUUCACAGCCCGUCCCGUGGCUGCCCCCUCCCUGGGGCCGCUACGAACCUGAGACAUUCACGGAGAAGUAGGUGGUCUUGCUCCCCGAGGGGCUGUUGGUCAUGCAGGCAUAGAGCCCCGAGUCCUCGGGCACCACGUCCCUGACCUCUACCUCCUCCCCGGUGAUGC